UGUAAUGCACCAUGGUGAUCUGAUACACCGAU
rnacentral:piRNA from 1 species